rnacentral:sRNA from 1 species
GCAUAGCCCCGAUAGAAACGGCAUCCUUUUUAUCUGCUUUUUGCUAAUAAAAAGGUACAAUGAAAGCAGGACAAAAG